rnacentral:rRNA from 1 species
AAUGAACGUUGGCGGCGUGGAUUAGGCAUGCAAGUCGAGCGUACCCAGCAAUGGGGAAGCGGCAAACGGGGUAGUAAUGCGUCGGUACGUGCCUCCUGGACGGGGAUAGCCGGCCGAAAGGCCGGGUAAUACCCGAUGACAUCGCGAGAUCAAAGGUGUGAUUCCGCCGGGAGAGCGGCUGACGUGGUAUUAGGUAGUUGGUAAGGUAAUGGCUUACCAAGCCUGGGAUGCCUAGGGGGUGUGAGAGCAUGGCCCCCACCAUUGGGACUGAGACACUGCCCAGACACCUACGGGUGGCUGCAGUCGAGAAUCUUCGGCAAUGGGCGCAAGCCUGACCGAGCGACGCCGCGUGCGGGAUGAAGGCCUUCGGGUUGUAAACCGCUGUCAGGGGGGAUGAAAUCACGGUGGGUUCUCCCAUCGUGUUGACAGAGCCCCAGAGGAAGCGCGGGCUAAGUUCGUGCCAGCCGCCGCUGUAAAUC